AGGUAGGUAGGUAGGUAGAGAUAGACAGACAGACAGACAGACAGAUAGAUAGGUACAGACAGACAUAAUUAAAGCAAGCAAGACAGGAUCUUCUUGCUGGCGUUUCAAAGCCAGCUAGCCCUCUUCCAAAGCCCCAUAAGGACCCAACUCUUUCCCCCUGAAGCCAAGGGCCCACCAGGACCCACAGGAGGCCAGGCGUUCCCUCCGCUCCGGUCCACGUGGCACCAGGCUGGGGAAGGGCGAUGCCCAGGGCCGGCUCCGCGGAGGGGGUGGAUGGGAUGCUUCUGACCCGCGGGGAGGAGGGGAGGCGCAGAAAGCCCUUCCAUACGGCCAGGGGUCCUUUCAACUUCCUUUUGCCCGGGAGGGAGGAGGGGUCUUCUUCUCCCUCUGGCGGCCCCCGGGGGAAGCUUCCCGCAAGACCCCCGUCCUCGGAAGGCGAGAAAAGCAGGCGUGGUUGGGGGCUCCCCAGCCGGGAGGACAAUUUCCCCUUCUGGCCAGCUUUUUUUGGGGGGGUCUCCCAGGGAGACCCAGGCCGGCCAUAGAAAUGACCCAUGUGUACCUUACCUUCCCAGGAAGCGCCCGGCCUCGGUUCCAUCCCCUCUUUCCGUGGAAACGGCGGGAUUUGGGAAGGUGGGGGGAUGCUGCUGAGUGAGGGGGGGACACGAGGCUUUCCUUCCUCCUUCCACCCACCCCCCGGCCCAUAUUUCUCUCCCCCCCCCCCUUGGAAAGGAUCCAGGCUCCGCCAAACUCUUCCGCUCUGUCCUAAGAUGCCCUCGCUCCCCCCGACUUUUGCGGAGUUUUUGCAAAGGGGUCUCCCCUCUAGUUCCCAGGGUUGUACUGUGAUCAUCAAACCCUCCAGCUUGGAGAGGGGGCUGAGCUCCGGUUCUUGAACCCGCCUCCACCAGAUCUCAUUUCCCUAAAAGAAAAAAAGAAUAAAAAGUGAGGGGGAGCGAAAGAGAGAGAAGGAGAGAGAGAGAGAGA